rnacentral:rRNA from 1 species
UACGUAGGGUGCAAGCGUUGUCCGGAAUUAUUGGGCGUAAAGAGCUUGUAGGCGGUUUGUCGCGUCUGCUGUGAAAUUUCGGGGCUCAACCCCGAACUUGCAGUGGGUACGGGCAGACUAGAGUGUGGUAGGGGAGACUGGAAUUCCUGGUGUAGCGGUGAAAUGCGUAGAUAUCUGGAGGAACACCGGUGGCGAAGGCGGCAUCCUGGACCGACAUUGACGCUGAGGAGCGAAAGCCAGGGGAGCAAAGCGGG